rnacentral:rRNA from 1 species
AGAGUUUGAUCCUGGCUCAGGACGAACGCUGGCGGCGUGCUUAAUACAUGCAAGUCGAGCGAGGUUACUGUUUUGGAUCCCUUCGGGGUGAAGAAGCUUUAACCUAGCGGCGGACGGGUGAGUAACGCGUGGGUAACCUACCCCAAAGUCCGGGAUAACAGCGGGAAACCGCUGCUAAUACCGGAUGCCUUUACCUUGGGGCAUCUUGAGGUAAAGAAAGGUAACGCUUUGGGAUGGGCCCGCGUCCCAUUAGCUAGUUGGUGAGGUAACGGCUCACCAAGGCGACGAUGGGUAGCCGGCCUGAGAGGGUGGACGGCCACACUGGGACUGAGACACGGCCCAGACUCCUACGGGAGGCAGCAGUAGGGAAUAUUGCGCAAUGGACGGAAGUCUGACGCAGCGACGCCGCGUGAGCGAUGAAGGUCUUCGGAUCGUAAAGCUCUGUCCUUGGGGAAGAAGGUCUUCGGACUUGACGGUACCCAAGAAGAAAGCCCCGGCUAACUACGUGCCAGCAGCCGCGGUAAU